rnacentral:pre_miRNA from 1 species
GAGACACCCUUCUGGGGCAAGACUUGCUUCAAUGGGGCUUUGGUGCUCACUUAGUCUUCCCCCUGGGUGUGUCCCU